AGGAGCCGUAUGACGUUAAAGUUUCAUGUACGGUUUUGAAAUAGAGGUAUUAACAGAAAUGUUAAAUCGACUAUAAU
rnacentral:ncRNA from 1 species